rnacentral:misc_RNA from 1 species
AACGCACAUUGCGCCCGCUGGAACUCCGGCGGGCACGCCUGUCCGAGCGUCAUUUCAACCCUCAGGCCCCUCCUUCCGGGGGGCGGGCCUGGUGCUGGGGCCCGGCCGCCGAACUCCCGGCGGCCGUCCCCUAAAUACAGUGGCGGUCACGCCGCGAUCCCUUGCGUAGUACAUCACCUCGCACCGGAGAGCGACGCGGUCCACGCCGUAAAACCCCCAAUCUUUAAUGGUUGACCUCGGAUCAGGUGGGAAUACCCGCUGAACUUAA